CCAAAUUCAUAUCAGCUAUACCAAUAUUCCUUAGGACAUUUUAGCAUUGUCUACAAAAUCCAGCUUGAAAUAUAGCAUCGAAAAUGUGAACUUCCUAGGAGGGAACUAGGAAGCCCCAUAAUCUGUAUGAGACUCUUAUUCUAUGUCCACGUUUGGCCUUAUCACUACAAGGUGAUGGCGUUGGCCAUUAAUUACCUUUUUCUAAUGACAAAGGGAAGCAUAAAGUUUUGUAGUGUCAAAGCUUGUGGUUGACUUGCAUGUUGAGGGUUUUCUACAAGACACUGCACCACCAAGCGUCAUGAUGGCUUUUCUGGUAAAGAAUUUACUCUCAGGUAUGCUCAGCUUUUUGUUUUUCAAUUCUUUUUUUUGCUUAAUUUGUGAGACAGUGAUCCUGGAAGGGUGAUAGGCUAUUGCUUGAUGUCAGUAUCAUCCUUGUGUGAAAUCAGCAUCAUGUCCUUCCACUCAGCUGAUUUUUUCCAGAUCAGGUAUUGGUCCUUCUUGCCCUUUUGGCUGGAUAUUAUAGAACCACUAUGGUCUGGGAUAUUGGGUUGAUACUUUGCGACACAAACUCAAUUGAAGUUUGAAUAAGGCCGUAAUGAUCCUACUUGCACAGUUCACAACGGUUAGGCAUUUAACUCCCAUGAAGUAUUCUGUUGCUCUGGAUGGUGAAGAUAUCGUUGGGUUACCAUAUGAUGUGUCACCUCAUUUGUGCUAAUAUUUUGAGUCUUUCUGUGGAGAAAACGUUCAACUGGAUUAUCAUAUGCUGUCUAUAAACAGUUAACAAUUGAAGAGCAUUGAUGGAGAAGUGCUGUAAGGAUUUAUGCUUCUGCAAAUGAUUUUCUUUCAUCACAGGAUGUAGGAGGGAUAAGUCAUUUGGUUUCCUCACUGACAACUUUGUUAAACUUUUGCUGAGUGGAAAGGUGCAUCCCAUUUACUAUUCUAGUUAAUUUCAAUAUGAGCCUAUUUAUCUUUACAUAAUGCAGCAAAAGCAAGAUGACUUAUGACGUUUCAAAUCUACUGUCAUCGUUGAAUCUGUUUGGAAAGAAAGCCUGCAUUUAGAUGGUUGGGUGUUGAUGGCAAGCCUAAGAACUCCAGUUCCAUCCGUUCACCUCAUAUCCCUGAGGAAGAGAGCUCACCUGAUCUCUGAGGAAGAGAGCAAGAAGAAGAGUGUUUGAUACAGAACUUGCUAGUGUGGCACUAACCUUGAUAAAGUCUCGCUUCUCACUAUAUGGAAGCUUCGCAAUCAUGUAUACAUAAGUGACUGCUGGAGGAUGUCAAUCGCUUUGCCGUUUUCCUAAUGUUAAUAUUUUUGUACCUUGAUGUACACUAGACUACUAGUAAACAGCUCUGAUGUACACUAGACUACUGGUAAACAGCCCAUGGACCGUGAUAAUGUCUUUUCAUUGACAGCA